GCCGGCUUAGCACAGUGGUAGUGCAGCGGUUUUGUAAACCGAAGGUCACGAGUUCGAAUCUUGUAGCCGGCA
rnacentral:tRNA from 1 species